UACGAAGGGGGCUAGCGUUGCUCGGAAUCACUGGGCGUAAAGCGCACGUAGGCGGAUCUUUAAGUCAGGGGUGAAAUCCCAAGGCUCAACCUUGGAACUGCCUUUGAUACUGGGGAUCUCGAGUCCGGAAGAGGUUGGUGGAACUGCGAGUGUAGAGGUGAAAUUCGUAGAUAUUCGGAAGAACACCAGUGGCGAAGGCGGCUCACUGGUCCGGUACUGACGCUGAGGUGCGAAAGCGUGGGGAGCAAACAGG
rnacentral:rRNA from 1 species